GCCCAGCUGGCUCAGUUGGUAGAGCACAUGACUCUUGAUCUCAGGGCCAUGAGUUCAAGUCCCACACUGGGUG
rnacentral:tRNA from 1 species